rnacentral:rRNA from 1 species
UUCCCGGGUCUUGUACACACCGCCCGUCACACCACGAAAGUUGGCAAUACCCGAAGCCGGUGGCCUAACCCGCAAGGGAGGGAGCCGUCGAAGGUAGGGUUGAUGAUUGGGGUG